rnacentral:rRNA from 1 species
UACGUAGGGCGCAAGCGUUGUCCGGAAUUAUUGGGCGUAAAGAGCUCGUAGGCGGUCUGUCGCGUCGGCUGUGAAAGCCCGGGGCUCAACCCCGGGUCUGCAGUCGAUACGGGCAGGCUAGAGUGCGGUAGGGGAGGCUGGAAUUCCUGGUGUAGCGGUGAAAUGCGUAGAGAUCCGGAGGAACACCAAAGGCGAAGGCAGUGUCCUGGGGAGUACCUGACGCUCAGGUGCGAAAGCCAGGGGAGCGAACGGG